rnacentral:piRNA from 1 species
AGUAGAAGAAUUGGUAAGUAU